UCGGUAGAGUGAAACUGCGGAUAGCUCAUUAAAUCGCCUCUAUUUUGUUUGAUAGUCCUCCACUGGAUAUCCGUGGAAAAUCUAGAGCCAAUACUUGCACUGAUAUCUAACAAGCUAAUGCUUCUUGUUAGAUGCAUUUAUUGGAUAUCCGAUCGCUCACAUUGCGAGCGUUAGGUGAUUCUAAAUGACUUUGCUGAUCGUAUGGCCUUGUGCCGACGACAGAUCAAACAAGAUCGCGCCCUAUCAAUUUGUUGUUAGGAUAUUUUCCUAACAAGGUUGUAACGGGUGACGGGGAAUCAGGGUUUGAUUCCGGAGAGGGAGCAUGAGAUAUAGCUACCACAUCUAAGGAAGGCAGCAGGCGCGCAAAUUACCCACUCCCGACACGGGGAGGUAGUGACGAGAAAUAUCGGCUCCUAUUCAAUUGAGUAGGAGACCGAAAUGGACGAAAUUCAGGUCCAUUCGUGAGUAACAAGCAGAGGGCAAGUCUGGUGCCAGCAGCCGCGGUAAUUCCAGCUCUGCACGCAUAUGCGAGAUUUGUUGCAUUUAAAAAGCUCGUAGUCGGACGGUUCCACAAUUUUGUCGAUUGGACACUGCAUGUGCUGCAUAAUUUUGUCUACCUAACUAAGGAGGCAACAAAAUUUUUGUUAGUUCACUACAGUGCUCUUAAUAUUGACUAGUUGUGGACAAACGCAAGCUCCUGAUCUGCCCUUAAUUGGGUGUAUCAGCUGU
rnacentral:rRNA from 1 species